rnacentral:lncRNA from 1 species
AGAGCCUGACAGGAGCUGUGAUCUUUGCUCCUGGGACCCACACAGCUUCCCCUGACCUUGCAGGGAAGGCAUUGGGAGAAUAGAUGCCCCCACCUCAUUCUCUUUCCAUCUCCAAAUUCCUUCCUGGGUUCCUUAUUGGCCAAACCCAACUGAAGCCAUACAUCAAUGAAAUCCAUUGAUGUGGUCCAUGUGAGUCGGCCUCCUGGGGCAAAGAGCAGGUGGGGGAAGGUGGAGAUGGCUCUGGAGGGGCAAAUGAAAGUCAUCACACACCAUGAUACCAUAAAGCCUUGAGUACAACCGAAAAAGGAUUGCACAAGUGGAGAACAAUCUCACUAUGAAUGUAGAUGCAAAAAUAUUGAAAUGAAGUACUAGCAAGUUGAAUUCAGAACUUUAUCAUGACACUAUUAGCAAAUAAGGCUUUGGUAUUGAAUUGGGUGUUUUUCCAACUCUCCCCCCACCACCACUCUCUCUCUCUCUCGAUAGAGAUAGAUAUACAUACAUAUUUAGGACUCUUGCUUUUGAUUCUUGUUGUUUUAAGGAAAAUUGCCACUCUUUCUUCCCUUCCUCAGUCUCUUUUUCCCACGGGAGGAGGAAUGAUUGCUUUAACUGAUGACUGUUGAAGAAGACACCAGGCCUGCUGGCUCUCUUUUGGAACCAGCCUCUUCACAGAAGACGCCAUUAACGGAGGAGAGAGAAAAGGCAUGGUUGAAGCUUUCUGGACAAAACUUCUUCAGCCCGCAAUAGAUGCUGGUUUCUGGGACAACGAACACCGCCACGCCCUCACAUGCGCUGCUCCUGGCAUCCACUGACCACAGAAACAUUUUAAAUUCGUCCAAGCGGAAUUACUGCGUCAGUUUUGAAACAUUGAAGCGUGUCGUCAAGGCUCACAGCAGAGGAGAUUGGCCCCUUUUGAAUCCCACCGCGAAGGGAGAACCCUUUGACCACGGUGUUUGUAUCCUUCCUGAUCUGGGAGGCAGAGCAAGCAUUUCUUGGCAUUUAUUUGAUUACCAAUGAAGUAAAUUCAAGGCUUGAACAGAAUCUUUUUCCAAAUAGUGAACCAAGUUUUUAAAUAGCAUUGCUAAAACAUUGUCUUUCUAUUCUGAACUGAAAAUUUACGUGUAUCACUUAAUUGGUUUGCCUUGUGCCAUUCUGGAUUUUCACGUCUCCUUCUUUAUCUGCCUGUCUCUCCUUGUACCAUUACCACAUUGGUCUUAAUUAUUUUAAAUACAGUUUGCUCUCUGGUGAAGUAAGUUGCUGUCACUAUUAUUUUUU